UAGAAUUAUAGUUUAUUAGAAUAUCUAACUUGCAGCUAGAAGGUGUUUUACUUAUUCUA
rnacentral:tRNA from 1 species